GGAGUCUGCUGAGCAGUCACUUUCCGAAUUUCCUUCGGGAAUCGGGGGGAGGAAAGUCCGGGCUCUAAGGGCAAGGUGCCAGGUAACGCCUGGAGGAUGCGAAUCCAUGGAAAGUGCAACAGAGAGUAGACCGCCUGUUUGCUCCGCUUGAAUUAUAUUCAAACGGGGAGCAGGUAAGGGUGAAACGGCGUGGUAAGAGCACACCGCACAACUAGUAAUAGCUGUGGCUAGGUAAACCCCACCGAGAGCAAGACCAAAUAGAGGGGCAUGGAGUAAUCCAGCAUAUGGCCCAUAUGGCCCCCGGGUAGGUUGCUAGAGGUUCAUGGUGACAUGGAUCCCAGAUGAAUGGCUGUUCUAGACAGAACCCGGCUUACAGGCAGACUCCCACU
rnacentral:RNase_P_RNA from 1 species